GAACAAUGAUGAGUCCGUAUUUGCCCGACUGCAAAAAAUGAAGUCUUCUACACUUUAACUGAGCUCA
rnacentral:snoRNA from 1 species